rnacentral:lncRNA from 1 species
UCUUUUUCUUCUUCUCUUCACCGUGGGCGGCGCCCUCGCCGCCGCCGACACCGGGGAUCUUCUGCUUGAUCUUGUCCACCAAGCCCUCCUUGUGUUCGCCCUCCUUGUGUUCCCCGCCGUGAUGCUGCUGCUGAUGGUGAACAUCAGUAGUGCCGACACCGGGGAUCUGCUGCUUGAUCUUGUCCACCAAGCCCUCCUUGUGUUCGCCGCCGUGAUACUGCUGCUGAUGGUGGACAUCAGUAGUGUGGUGGUCCCCACUAUGGUGCUCUCCCUUGUGCUUGUCCUCCUCCUUUUGCCCUCCUCCCAUGUGAAGGGCUUCUCCGAUCUUGUGAAUAACUCCUGACAUUUUCCCUUAAAAUGACUCUGUUCCUCUUCUUUUCUUUUCAAUGAAAAAUAGUUGUUUGCGAUCUUCUUCUGGUUGUUGUUGUUCUUGUUGGGUGAUCUUGGCUUGGUAUUUAUAGGCUCCAAAAGGAGGGACUAGAAUUAGGAUUAGAUUAUAGAUUAUUUUAAUACAUUUUAUGGCAAAUUCUGAUUUGGAAAGAUAAGAUUAUCCUUUUGGUUUUCCUUAUUUACCCUUUUGCACCCAUUACGUGUACGCGUCUUCGUGGGCUUUUUGGGUAUUUCAAUUAUAUCGCCAAUGCUAAAUCGACACGUUGCAUAUCAGCCGCGGUACUGCCGUAUGUAGUUGUCCAGAAAUCGAGUCGAUUCUCGAUCGUACAAUAAUUAAAUAAUAUUUCAUACGAAAUGAGUUUAGAUAUAUUUUGAAAAUUUAUUUUUAAUUUAAUUAUACGUGUUAUAUAUUUGUUAAUCGAAUAGAGGUCCCACGUAACAG